GUAUUGAGAAUAUAUAUAUCAAUACCUUCUUCCCGUUACUACUACGGUUCACGUGCGGAACUCUGCGACAAAAAGAUCUGUGCGCAAAAGAACUCUGCAUAAACGAACUAUGUUCACUCUAACAGAUGUUUAUUUGCAAAAUAAAAUUAAAAGUAAAUUUUCGAAAAUUUAGAAAGCCUUCUUGCAUAAAUGUGUGUGUAUGUAUUCCAAAUUAAACAAAAAUAUAUAUGUUGUGCCAAAAGCAACGGUGUCCAAAUGAACGGUGCGCAAAAGAACUGUGCGCAACUUUAUGUGUUUAAUACAUUGAGCUAUAUACAUACUGGAGUGAGCCUUCAAGAAGUGAAGGCAGCCCAACUUCGAGAAAGAAGCCAAUAUUACGUGUCACCGAAACGUAUAAAUAAUAAAAUCUGACAAUUCUCAAAUAAUAAUUACCUCUUUGGACAACCUCGAGAAGAGAUCACCGCCUUUUAGAAAAUCUAAUAUCAAAUAAAGUUUUCCCUCCG